AACGAACGCUGGCGGCGUGCCUAACACAUGCAAGUCGAGGGGUAACAUAGAAAAGCUUGCUUUUCUGAUGACGACCGGCGCACGGGUGCGUAACGCGUAUACAACCUACCUUUUAGCGGGGAAUAGCCCAGGGAAACUUGGAUUAAUGCCUCAUAGUAUAUAAGCUUCUCCUGAAGUUUAUAUUAAACAUUUAUGGCUAUUAGAUGGGUAUGCGUCCUAUUAGUUAGUUGGUAAGGUAACGGCUUACCAAGGCAGCGAUAGGUAGGGGUCCUGAGAGGGAGAUCCCCACACUGGUACUGAGACACGGACCAGACCCCUACGGGAGGCAGCAGUGAGGAAUAUUGGACAAUGGGCGAGAGCCUGAUCCAGCCAUGCCGCGUGCAGGAAGACUGCCCUAUGGGUUGUAAACUGCUUUUACAGAGGAAGAACCACCCCCACGUGUGGGGGUUUGACGGUACUCUGCGAAUAAGGAUCGGCUAACUCCGUG
rnacentral:rRNA from 1 species